rnacentral:rRNA from 1 species
CAGUCGCCGCAGUAAUACGGAGGGAGCUAGCGUUAUUCGGAAUUACUGGGCGUAAAGCGCACGUAGGCGGCUUUGUAAGUUAGAGGUGAAAGCCUGGAGCUCAACUCCAGAAUUGCCUUUAAGACUGCAUCGCUUGAAUCCAGGAGAGGUGAGUGGAAUUCCGAGUGUAGAGGUGAAAUUCGUAGAUAUUCGGAAGAACACCAGUGGCGAAGGCGGCUCACUGGACUGGUAUUGACGCUGAGGUGCGAAAGCGUGGGGAGCAAACAGGAUUAGAUACCCCGGUAGUCCCUGUCUCUUAUAC